AACGAACGCUGGCGGCAGGCUUAACACAUGCAAGUCGAACGCGUGUAGCAAUACACGAGUGGCGCACGGGUGAGUAACGCGUGGAUAUCUGCCUUUUGGUUCGGAAUAACCCCGGGAAACUGGGGCUAAUACCGGAUGGUACCUUCGGGUUAAAGAUUUAUCGCCAAAAGAUGAGUCCGCGUACGAUUAGCUAGUUGGUGAGGUAAUGGCUCACCAAGGCGACGAUCGUUAGCUGGUCUGAGAGGACGAUCAGCCACACUGGGACUGAGACACGGCCCAGACUCCUACGGGAGGCAGCAGUGGGGAAUAUUGGACAAUGGGGGCAACCCUGAUCCAGCCAUGCCGCGUGAGUGAUGAAGGCCUUCGGGUUGUAAAGCUCUUUUGGCGGGGACGAUGAUGACGGUACCCGCAGAAUAAGCCCCGGCUAACUUCGUGCCAGCAGCCGCCGUAAAAC
rnacentral:rRNA from 1 species